CCUCCUUUCUAAGGAAAUAAUUUUUUAAAUUUUCAUCUUCAGUUUUGAAAGACUUAGUUCUUAUAAGUUUUUCUUUUUUAAGGAAAAGAAAAAUGGGCCUAUAGCUCAGUUGGUUAGAGCACACGCCUGAUAAGCGUGAGGUCGAUGGUUCAAGUCCAUUUAGGCCCACCAACUGAAAAAGGUCGUUUUUUCUAAUUCUUGAAAAAAAGUUCUUUGAAAAGUAGAUAAACAAAGUAAAUUUUUAAAUUUCAAAGGAA
rnacentral:misc_RNA from 1 species